rnacentral:rRNA from 1 species
GGGUCAUUAGGUUGGUCGUGCCACCGGUACGUACUGGUCUCACUGAUUCCUCCUCCCUGAAGAACCGUAAUGCCAUUAAUUUGGUGUUGCGGGGAAACAGGACUGUUACUUUGAAAAAAUUAGAGUGUUUAAAGCAAGCUAACGCUUGAAUACAUUAGCAUGGAAUAAUGAAAUAGGACGAUCGAUCCUAUUUUGUUGGUUUCUAGGAUUGACGUA